CAACAUAUUCUCCUGGUUUCACUUGGUCUCGCUUGACUCUCACAGGCGUCCCGCAUCACCGCGUUGGUCAAAAUUUGGUCGUUUUCCCCUCCUUGUUAUGGAGCGUAAAGUUGCUCGCGAAUUCAGGCAUAAGGUGGAGUUGCUGAUUGAAAAUGAAGCAGAGAAGGACUACUUGUACGAUGUCCUCCGCAUGUAUCACCAGUCCAUGGACUUGCCUGUGCUUGUUGGGGACCUGAAGCUGGUUAUCAAUGAACCAAAGCGUUUGCCCUUGUUUGAUGCCAUCAGACCGCUCAUCCCACUCAAACACCAGGUGGAGUAUGACCUGCUAACCCCGAAGAGGUCCAGGAAGCUGAAAGAGGUACGGUUAGAUCGGACACAUCGCGAUGGACUGGGUCUCAGUGUCCGUGGAGGCUUGGAGUUUGGCUGUGGUCUUUACAUAUCACAAAUUGUCAAAGAUGGUCAGGCUGGAAAUGUUGGUCUUCAGGUGGGUGACGAGAUUGUCCGCAUCAAUGGAUACUCCAUCUCCUCCUGCAUCCACGAGGAAGUCAUCAGUCUUAUCAAGACCAAGAAGAUUGUGUCACUCAAAGUUAGACAUGUGGGGAUGAUUCCUGUCAAAAGCUCAUCAGAUGAACCCCUCAAGUGGCAGUUUGUCGAUCAGUUUGUGUCAGAAUCUGGGGAGAAAAAAAGCAGUGUUGCUGGUUUGGCAUCGAUUGGAGGGAAGGAAAUCAAGGAGAAGAAGGUCUUCCUCAGCCUCGUGGGCACCAAAGGUAUGGGCAUCAGCAUCUCCAGUGGUCCCACGCAGAAACCUGGCAUCUACAUCAGCAACGUCAAAUCUGGCUCGCCAUCUGCGGAGGUCGGACUUCAGAUUGGAGACCAAAUCGUGGAGGUGAAUGGGGUGGACUUUACCCAUGUGGACCACAAAGAGGCUGUAAAAGUCCUCAAAAGCAGCAGGAGCCUGACGAUCACUGUUCUGACUGGAGCCGGCAGCGAGCUGUUUAUGACGGAUGAGGAGCGUUUGGCAGUGGAAGCACGCAGGGAACUGGAGAGGCAAGAGCUGAUGCAUCAGAAGAGGGUGGCUCUGGAGACCAACAAGAUCCUUAAAGAGCAGCAGGAGAAGGAGAGACAAAGGAAAAUGGAAAUCUCCCAGAAGGCUGCAGAGGAAGAGCAGCGCUACAAGCAGGAGAUGGAGAGGAUUGAGGCUGUGGAGAGGAAACAACACAGAGAGUGGGAAGAGGACUAUGGUACGACUGAGCGACCUCUCGGUCCUCAGAUCCAUAGGAGCCCAUCACCCGCCCCACCUGAAAUUGAAACCAACCAGUCUCCGAAAGCCAAAACGUCUCAGUAUGAGGCCUUCUCAUUCGCAAGUGAAGCUGAGGAGGAUGAGCAGGACGGACAACAUUUGGCUGGUUUUAUCGGUACGAGGGGAAGCUUCCAUCAUUCCAUAAGAAAGGAGAGAAAAAGAAGAAAAAGAAAAAAAUGUCCAACACAGACACGCUGCAGGAGCAGAGAAAAAACAAAAAGGAGAUGGAGUUUGAGCUGAAAUUGGCCAAGGAGAAAGAAGAGAUGUAUGAACGAGAGAAGCAGUUGAAAAUCAAUAGGCUGGUUCAGGAGGUUUCAGAGACAGAGAGGGAAGACCUCGAGGAGUCUGAGAAAGUACAGCACUGGGUUGAGCGUCUUUGUCAGACUCGCUUGGAACAAAUAUCUUGUGUGGAAAACGAGUCACCUGAGGUAUUUCUGCCAUACCCUUUUUCUUGGAGCCUCCUUGUGGUUUUGUCUUUCUUAAAAUCCAUCAAAAGAUGUUUUUGUUAUUGUAACAUGAAGUCAAAUAUGCCUGAAGACUUUAUUGUUAGAGUUAACAAAACUCAAACUCUCAAAUUGUUUUAAAGGGACCUAUAAAUAUUUUUUCCCCAAAUGUCCAGUAGGGGUUAAUUUUAAUUGCGAAAGGAAUUAAUAUUUUUACACAGGCUUUGGUUAUGAUCUUAAUGGGUUUUCUUGAGUCAAUUGCCCAAUGUUAUUAUUAUGAUGAGUUUUACUCAGACAUAAAAAAGACAAGCUGAAUUACACAUUCCCUGUUAUUUUUCAUUUCCCUUUUUUUUAAAAUUCAUUUUAAAAUGUGUACACAUCACAGAAGUCCAUAAUUAUUUGCUAUUGUCACAAAACAUUAUGCAGUAUGUUUGUACAGAUUACAACAUAUUUCUGUCUUGACUCUAAAGCUGUCACCCCCACUGUCACCUCCCCCGGAGCCCAAGGUGAAGCGUUUUCCUGGUGGCCUGCACCUGGCCACUACUGAUCUGGAUGACAUUAACUUGGAUCAUGUGGAUCAGAGCCUGAAGGGGCCGCUUAAGAGACUCGCCC